rnacentral:rRNA from 1 species
UGCCAGCAGCCGCGGUAACACGGGGGGCGCAAGCGUUAUUCGGAACUAUUGGGCGUAAAGGGCGCGCAGGCGGUCUUGUCAGUCAGGUGUGAAAUCCUGGGGCUCAACUCCAGAACUGCCAUUGAUACUGAAAGUCUUGAGUACAGUUGAAGUAGGCGGAAUGUGUAAUGUAGCGGUGAAAUGCUUAGAUAUUACACAGAACACCGAUUGCGAAGGCAGCUUACUAAGCUGUUACUGACGCUGAUGCACGAAAGCGUGGGGAGCGAACAGGAUUAGAUA